AUAUAUAUAUAUAUAUAUAUAUAUAUAUAUAUAUCACAGCGACACAACAACCUGCCCGCUCUCUCUCUCUCACACACAUAAAACUGUAAAAUGCAUUUCAUCUGUAUCUGGUUUCCACGCAGUGAUGAGUCGCUUGCAGCUGUGUAAGCGGCGCCACUCUUAACCUAAGGCCCUGAUAACUAUCAGUAAUUUGCAUGCCUAUUUCUGUAUGUGGCCACACUGCAGCCCUUAUUCAAAAAGCCGUGGCUCAGGCUGUGAUGACGCGCUUCUCCGCAGCACUCAAAAAAUUACAGUCACUGACAGAAAGACAAAAGUGUCACACACCACAGCAUCUAAAACCAUGCUAGUCACCUGCAUUAGUUUACAUGUGCUAAAAAGGCAACUAAAUCUAUCCAGAUUAGUGUAUUCAAAGCUGCACACUUCUUAUACAUAAUGUAGGAAAGCGUGUUCUGCUUUAAUUCUCUGGCCUCGUUCUCUUUUCUGGGUAAAAUCGCAGAGCUUACUACACAGUUCAUCCAAAAGGUCACUAUUUCACUAGCAGGAAGUGCUUCCUUAGCUCAGUGUUAUUCAUGGUAUAAAUCAUUCCUAAGAAUUAUUACGCCAACUAAACGAUAUGAAUUAUGGGUUUCUAUUCGCAGAAACUCCAAUUCAACAAAGAUGAGGUGGUGUGUCAUAGGACACUGUGUAAGUUUACAAAACUUUACUCACAUCAGCUGUUAUUUCAGAAGCGUCAGCACUAACUAGCUAGCUCUAACGCGACAAUAUCUUUGCGUGAUGGGACAGGGAACACAAUGGGAUAUGGACAUGACGAAUGGAUUGUGGUAGAAGAUGAAAAACACCUCACGCUAUAUAUGAAAGUCACACAUUACCUUUGGCUUCUUCUCUUAGUUGUCUCGCAAGUUUAGCCAGGCAAACACUCCUAACACACCCUGUUGCCAAGAGAGAUUGGGAAAGGGAGUGUUAAACAAAUAAACACACGCACGCACACACACACACACACACACACACACACACACACACACACACACACACACACAGGUGUAUAUAUUGCGUAUAUGCAUACACACACAUGAACAACACAACACAUCGUCUCUAUGGUAUGUGGCAUCAAAAGGUUUCUGUUCUGGCUCUUUACAGUAUUAACACAGAUUUAACACAAAGUACAGAAACACUAGUAUUCUCAGUCUGAAUUACAAACACCCUCAGCCUUGAGAAAACUGUCCUCAACUCAGUCCUCUGUCUCCUAUCCACCUCUCAAACAGCCAACUUCUCAAACUUCCACAUCAACAGCCAGAUCAUUAGUGACAUUCCACCUCCUCCACUUUCUCUUUCUCCUGCCACUAUUCUCUCUUGCACCCAAACCUGAUGGCCCACCUGACACAGUAUCCUCCUGUUAAGGGUCUCCAGGAAGGAACCGGAAAUGUCCAAAAAAAAAGUCAGCGCUGAUGAGCCAGUCGUGUCAAAAUCCAGUCCGGCACGGUGCACGAAGAUAUUUCCCACCUACUUAAUGCAGCCCUCCAUCCCUAACAACCUUUCUGGGUCCGUCACUCUAGCUCUCUUUGCUUGCUUGAAGGAAGAAGUAGCACAAGAGGAGGAAAAAAAAUCAUUGUGUUUUCUUUAAGCCAAAGCUGGGCAGGGAGAUGGAGAUGGAGAUGGAGAUGGGGAUGGGGGGCUCCAAUCGCAUUAAAAGGCAGACAUGCAGCGGCGGCCGGCAAUAAUCGAGCACUGAAGUACGUUUCAGCCUGUUGCUGCUUCAGAAAGUGAAAAAAGGAAGGGGGAGCGAGAGAGUCAGGUAAUGAGAGAAAGACUACCUCAUUUUCAAAGCAGGAAGAAGGGGAGGCCGCGAGUGUUUCCUGUGGUGCAGACGAGGUGAGCAAGGAUGUCAUAGGCAGCAUUCAUUCUGUCAAGGUGUCAGAACAAAUGGUGCUUGAGACGCUCUUUGUCUGCCUUGGAUAAGAGUGCUCCUCUAUCAGCCUCCAUAUACUGUAUAAUCCAGAACAAAGACUACAUAAAAAUAUAGCAUUCUAUAUGGGUCAGAUGGAUCAGCUGUUUAUUUUAAGAUGCACUAAAAGACAUGAGUAAAGGCAUUUUUAUAGUGAAAUAAUUUUUUUAUUUGAUCUGUUUACUGUUGUUCAUAUCUGCCAGCCUAAACUAUUUAGGCAAACUAAUGAGGAAAACCACAAUCAGAACAUAAAUCCAAAGGUAUCUACUGUGUGGCACCGAACUGAUCUACUCUGAACUGUCUUGUUUACCAAACCACUCAAGAUACACCUUCCAUAUCCCACUCUGAAGAACUGCCACAGAAUUUAGCAAAAUUAACCACAACUGGUGCAGCACGGUGCACUCGGUUGUGUUUUGCUACACUGUCACUGUGGAGAGAAUGGGGUACAGAAAACUAAAAAAGUGACAAAAGCUUUGUGCAACAUAUAGCAAGCAGCAAAUGCAAGGCACAAUGCAAAUUUGUGAGGCGUUACUAGGCUGCAGAUCAUGCCAGCACUGCAAGCAUAUUAUGUUGCACAGGCUUUACUGAGGCUGAACAAUUCACAUAACCUGUGGAGGCCAUGAUAUAUUACUUAUCUAUUAUAGGAGAACCAACAGAGUUCCCCACCAAUCUAGACUAUAUAUCCCAGGGAGAGACAAUGCAAUCAUGCAGUGCAAGAAUAAUGACCUUGUUCACAUCUACUGUCCAUCUGAUAAAAGUGGAGCAUUAAGAGGUGCCACUGAGAAAGUUUUAAUGGAGUGUUUUGUUCAGGCAAAUGAGUAUAGCCAGAUUAAUGUAUAAAGUAUUUAAAGUAUUGAAAGGCACCAUAUACAAUCCUGCUUUAAAAAAAAAAAAAAAAAAAAAAAAAAUCAAGACAGUGUUUCAUUGUAUAAGUCACAAUGUUGCUCCAGGCACUUUAAUUUUCGAUAAUAUCUCUAAAACAAUGCCUCAGAGAUCAGUAAAUGUAUAGUGCUGUUCAAUAGUGUAGUUGAAACAUUUGCCAGUUGAACAUCUAGUACCUCUCAUAUAUACGUAUGUACCCACUUUAAUUUUUCAUAACAUGUUAUGUAGUGGUCAUUUUUCAAAAUAUCAUGUGGUGCAACUGUCCAACCAUUAGUACCAUUUUGAACACUUGCUUGAAAUUGCUUCUUAAUCUUUUCAUUUUUUUUUGUUAUUUUACCAUAUUAAGCACAAUUUCAAAAGUGCUUUGUAUUACUGACCAACCCUGAAAUCAUUUUGCCUUUCAUAGCUCUUUCAUAAUUCACUAACAAAAGUUCUGUUGUUCAUGUUACAAAAAUACCAUCUGGUACAACCAUGAAGAAAAAGUACAGGGUUCUCUAAAACUUUACUUGAUAGUAGCAUAUAGCAAACGUGUAAUAGCUUCUCCACCUCAUUUAGUUUGAGGCUUUGUCGUUCUUAAUGUUGUCCUGCAACACCAAAAUCUACCACUGCUGCUUUACACCUCCAUCCAUGUAAUGCAUUGAUAUACAAUAUUUGUCUAGGAGAUUUCAGUGCAGGUUUGUUCUGUUUGUUCCAUGGAGUUCUUCUGAUCAUUUAGUGUGAUCCCCCAAUCAUGUGCUGUAACCAGUAAUGGCAGUAACUAAGGGGGGAACAAUUAAGUUCUGUGGCUGAAAUAUUAAUCAUUGGCAUGGUAUGCUUAAGUGGAUACCAGUCUGCUAAAGUGGAUACUGCUUAAGUGGAUACUAGUUUGUAAAGUGUAUUUACCCAGGAGGCAGUGCAAAAUGUCGAACUUUAUUUAGGAAAUUAUUUGGAGAGUACUAUUAUUAUUAUUUGGAGAGUAAAUCAAAGUCGCACCACAUGAUCAUUUUUAAGAACAUGGACAAUUAAAGUUGACAAAAAAGUGCUAAAUUCACAUAACUGCGUGUUUUAUAUAAAUAUAUGUGUACACCACAUUCUAACUGUUUCAAAAUCUUAUUUGUCAGUGACCCUACUGCAGGAGUACAAGGUAUCUGGGUCUCUGUAUGAGUGCAGUGAGAGUUCUGUCCAUACUCAUAAGUUUAAAAGGUUGCUGUCAGACUCUUUAACCAUGUGUCUUGUGUCCACUCCUGCUUGUGGUUUUAAUGGACAGGAUAUCAAUACAUAGCCAAGAUUGGACAGCUGUCCAGUAUGGGGACUUGUGCAGGUUCUGUUGUUCUUUUGGCACCAUCCAAACUGAACCUACAACACACUGCGGCUGUAAUGAAAACCAGAAAUCUUCGAGGCCAAGGCCAUGGUUUUCUCCUAGAUAAUAGUGAGAUGCUCCCUUCAGGUGAGGGGGAAAAACCUUGCCCCUAGUUCACACAUCAUUGACAAACCAAAUCUAGUCUGUAUCAGCAGUGUUACAGUCACUGUACUGGUCUGUAGUGGUGAAGCAGGAGCUCAGUUUUUGCAGACAAUGUUGUCUGUUUACCGAUCAAUCUAUGUCCCUGUCCUCAUCUAUGAUCACAUGCUGUGGGUAGUGACUGAAAUAAUAAGGUCAUGAGUACAGGCUGUAUAAAUGAGGUUCCUCCUGCAGGGAAAAAAGUCCAUCCCAAGCACUGCAAACAUUCCUUUCGCUUCUCGCAACCCCAAGCCUUAACCAGCCUACAUUUUUGAAUUCCAGAUUUAUAACAUAGGACUACUGUAACAUUUGAACAUUUCAUUAUGUCAGUAACAUAAGUGACUAAAAGCUAAAGCAAUAUUCUUUGCACUGACGUACCAGUCUAGUGGAGGGUGAACUUGCCUUUCUUGGCACACCUUUUCAAAAAGUCAGGAGGUGUGUUUGAAAAGGUGUGCCUAUUUCAGCUGUCACAUCCAGCUUCGAAUGACUCAUAAGGAAUAAAACACUGGGCCAUGUUGUUAUAGGAAAAUAAUCCAUGCUGGGGUGGUGUGAUACCGCACAAUAUGAGGCAGAGCAGCCUGGUUUAUACUGGACUCAUGACUUAACCACACUGACAAGCUCUGAUUCUUUUUUAAAUGUUCUGCUGUCAUUGUGAUUGCUGUCAUGAUCUGCAUCUCAAAUGGAAAACUCUGACCUCUGACAUUCAAAUAUAUUUACUAAUAUAGAAAAUCCAGAAGACUGCUACUGGAAAGAGAUCUUUUAGUAGGAUUGAAGGCAACAUGAGAGGUUUUAAAAAUUAAAACACUAAAUGUAAUAGGAAAACCAGUUAGUGUUAGUACUCAAUAGCAGUCUAGAAUAGUGCAAAGUAUACUCUUUGAGACACAACACUAGUUUGUUUAGCGAAGGUAGCUGGAGAGGGAAUGGAGGUACUGACCACUAAACAAUUCACUGCUAGUACAGUGAGAAUUACUUUGGUGCUGAAUUAUCAUCCUACUAAUAAAAGAGUGCCUGAGAUUAUACCUAAAAACUCAACCAGCGUUCGGAAAACCCUGAAAUAGCUUCCCUUUCUGAGGAACCUCCACUCAUCUCCAAACAUCAAAGACAGGAAUGAAUUAAAUUGUCAGGCGAAUAGAACCUGUGGCACUCUUACAUGCAACAGUUCUAGAUGUCCCACGUGUAGUUGUUGUGAGCAUGGGAGCGAUGACUUGAGGAAAUGUAAGGGGAAGGAGCUCAUCUACACACUCAGAACUUUGGAACGGCAUGGAAUGAAUGUCAUGUAUUAACUACAGCUAUUACAUCAUCAAGCGUCCACUGGUUUCCGAUAUACUGAGACAUUUUGGGAAUUCCCAUCCCCAACACAUUAUACAGCGCUAAAAUCCACAAGAUGUUCCUUCACUUUUCGGAUUUUGAGAAUGUCCCAUUUAAGCCGAACCAUGCUGUCUCAAAAUAGAAGACUGAAAAAUGAUAAACCUUGAUUUCUGUUGUGACAUGAGGAUUGUUGGGUCUGAAUGAAAACAUGGACAUGGUCUCCUUGCAGAACCAGUUCAGGUGGGUGGUGGUGGUGGUGUAAUGGUGUACAGAGUGUUUGCUUGGCACAAUUUGGGGCUUUUAUUAAUACCAAUCAAGCAUCAUUUGAAUGCCACAGCCUGUUUGAGAAUUGUUUCUGAACAUGUACAUCUAUUUACACCCACAGUUUACCCAAUCAUGUGAUAGGCACUUCCAGCACGAUAACACUCCGUGACACAAAGCACAAAGUCAUCUCAAACUGGUUGAAUGAACACGACAGUGAGUUCAGUGGUCUCCGCAGAUCUGAAUUCAACUUUGGCAUGUGGCAGAACGAGAGAUUCAUGAGCUUCAUGAAUGUGAAGUUGACAGCAGUUAUGUGAUGCAUUUAUGACUCUCAAAGAACCUUGUGGAUGUAUAUCAUUUCACAAGUGUAAAUGCUUGGGACAGAAGAGAAUAAUAUGUUCUAGAAAUAAAAAAUUUUUUUUAAAAAACUUAGAUGAAUAAAAAAAAUAUAUAAUUUUAAAAAGCUAUGUCUUCCAAAGAAUGCACUGAUAUACACUGCCAUAAAUUCUAAAACCACCCUUAUUGUACAAAUAUUACAGAUCAUUUUUAUAGCAUUUUUUUUUACAUUAAUACAGUAUAAGUUAACUCACACAUACUGUAUUCGUAAAUCACGACAGUCAUUUAUCAGCGGUUAUCACAGGAUCUGUGCUCCAUUGAUAGCGACAACAUUCAAUAAUGUGUGAAGAUGUUUGGAGCUGGAUAUAAAUGUGCUGCUAGGAAACGCAUAAUACUGAUAUCAGAUCACACACUUACACUGCUACAAGUGUUACCUUGGGGUUAGGAUGCAGAUAUCAGGCUAAAAUUACGAAGCACUGAAUUAAAACACCACAAGGCCUGCAAUUAUAUCAUAAUCAAUUAGCAAAUCUAAAGCGCCUCACUAGAAAUUAUUGGGAAUAAGAGUGUUAUGGAGCAGAAGGAAACACACUGUGCUGUCGGUUCAGCAUCAAAACACUAGACACUUGCUUGUUCUUUCAGAAGUGGAAUGAACUUGAAUACAGUCGGGUGGCAACGACAGCUGCACUUCAAGAGUCCCCCUAGAGUGUCCCCCGCUCACUGACGGAGAACACGUCAUGGAACAUUCCCGGAACGAGCCAGCGUCCCACCCACCUUAACCCAGGCACGCACACACAUACAUACACACACCUGACAGACAAUCUAUGUACACAGUGAAUUUCACAACACCUUUAUAAGUAACAAUUAAUGUAUUAACUACUACUACUAAUAAAAUGAUCCCUGCCCGAACGCACGCGCUAUGCAGUGAAGCCGCUCCCGGUCCCUGUGCAAAUUCCUCGGGAUAUUACGCAGCAUUCCCGCUUUCCGCGCGCAGGAAAGUGGGUAUUCCCCCAAAAGCCGGAUUAUUCCAAUAAGCACAAAGCGCACGCACUGGUACAGAACCGCGCAGGGAAGAAGCAGCUCGAGCUCAGGAGUGUAAAGAGUUCGUGCUCUUACCGAUCUGUGAUCACGAUUGUCUUUACGGAGCAGCGUCCCAGAACAUCCCGAACACACCGAGGAAUGUCAGUCCGCCUCGCCUCGCCUCGCAAUCAGCCGUUCCUUGGCCGGGUGUAACAGGAUGUGUGGAGUUUCACCGUGUCUUCAUGAUGGGGAACGCGAAUGGAAAGUCGGACAGGUGAUAAACACAGAAAGACGGCGCGCGCGCUGCCGUUCCACGAACGUUCACGAGUGUUGAGAGUAAACAGUCCAGUUCGUGACGGGUGUUUUUGGUUUGUUUUGCUUCGCUUCCUGCUCGAAUCGAAGCCAGAGAAGGAGCCUGGAUGGAAUGGAGGGGGAAAUAGACUGGGUUAUUCCUAGCACCGCUUCCCAGAAUAGAAAAAAAAAGAAAGAGAGAGGGAGGGAGUGCGCGCGAGCGCAGGAGAAUAAAAGCGACAGCGUGAAGGUCUGAGAUUCCAGCAAACCACAGUGAGAGCCAUUAUAUCUAUAUGGAGAAAACUUAGUUCCGUGUUGAAUCUUCCCAGAAGUGGCUGGCUUACCACAAUUCCUCCAUGAGCACAUCGACGACUCAUAUAGGAAGUCAAAAAAGAACAAACAUCUAAGGAACUGCAAACUUCUAUUGCCUCAGAUAAGGCAAGGGCAUCACCAAAGGGAUCACACUGCUAGGUAAAUCAAUGCCGUGUUUCAGCAGUGUCUAUUAACACAUAAUGCAGAAUGCGGUUGCUGGUGUGUCUGCAUGCAACGUGGAGUCAUUUUCUCCAGGAAACAUUAUGGAUAUUCCCACUGAACUAAACUAUUAAUCAGCAGUUAAAUAGUGAAAGAAAAAAAUGAAGAAAAAAACAAACGCUGACAGAAACGAUAGCUAUUAUCACAUUCCUGAUUGUGCUAUUUUGUUAUGUGAAAGUGUGAUCGGUAUUACACAUAUUUUGAGAGGUGUGACACCCUAUCAUGGGACCUAUGUGUCAUCCUUGGCUUACGUAGAUUAUUAUUUUUAAUUUUUUUAUGUUCACAUGCUGAUUGCCUUAUGUGCAAUAAAUAAAUAAUUACAUAUCCC
ensembl:lncRNA